CUAUACAUACGGCCAUGAAAAAGAUCACUUCUUAUUAUUGUUCUCUUUUCUUUCACAAACAGGUUGAGUUUGAAGAACAAGAAAAACAGUAGAGGUCUACCUAUAUGGUUCAAGAUGAUGAUCAUAAGUGCAUGCAUCAUUUUGCAGAUUCUCAUCCAGGAUGAUGCAGUUUUACAAUUUCCAUGGAGGUGAUUGAUGAUGAUAAAUUAUUGGUGAAGUAGGCCUAAUAGAACAGCGACUAGACCACAAAGAGAAAUACAACCUACAGCAGUUAUAUGAGACUGGUGUAACAGAUGUUUUCAUUCAAGAAAUCCAACAAUUCAAGAGUCUGACUUAGGAACCACUUGAUGAAGAUGGAAAGGGUUUUUUUUUCCAAGUCCAAUUUUUCAACAACAAAAAAAUUAUUAUCACAACCCCAAAUUCAUGACGUAUGAAAUUUCUUGUUGAUUUUCAUUAAAACUGGUUGCAAAAGGAGAAGCU